rfam:Oryza rufipogon genomic scaffold, chr03
CCUGGUUUCCGUGCCUAACGUUUGACCGUCCAUCUUAUUUAAAAAAAUUAUAAAACAAAUUAAAAAGACAAGUCACGCAUAAAGUAUUAAUCAUGUUUUAUCAUCUAACAACAAUAAAAAUAUAAAUUAUAAAAAAAUUCAUAUAAGACGGACAGUCAAAAUUGGACACAGAAACCCAGAGUUUGACUUUUU